UACCAGCUUCCCAUAUGUUCAUUCACCUAUUGGAAGCUGGUACUCGUGGAAUAUGCGGACACGAAAACUGGCCAAUUUCUUGUGCACAAGCGCAUUUCAGUGAAGUUGUUCUUCGCCUGGAUGUUAUAUACACAGCCGUAAUCAUGAUUGAAUACGCCAGCAAAAUGUGUACGGCUCCGCAAGCUUGCAUCUUUCUGUUACGUUUUAUGAUUAUUUUGGACGCGAUAAAACCGAUCUUUGUCCUGACGAUCGUUCUGCCGACGGAAAAUUUCCAUGGAUCGGUACACCGUUGUAUUUUGACGAUAGUCGUCGGGAAAGAGAUGCGUCACAUGAGCAUUCGAUACGCAGCCGGACAACUCGGAGUGGGACAUUUCGCCGCCCUCAAAUUAGAUGCGCGAAUUUUCGU